GCGUUGGAUUCAGAAACCAAAACAUUGAGAUAAUUAUGGUACGAUUUAAAAAAAGCGGAUCCAAGAGCUAGUGCACCACCAUGGUAAUACACUAUAAUGGGAAGUUUUUGGGUAGAAUUGGUUGUGUUUUUUGGAAGGUAAAGUCUAGCAGAAACAUGUGGUGAAAUUAUAACAUCUUUAGAGGAGACAUUAUUUUGUGGAUCAUCAAGUGAUGGAGGCACGUAAGUUGAUAAGUUACUUUUUUUAUAUAUAUAGCGUUCGACUCGACCAUCCUUAUAGAUUCUAUAGAAACCAUCCAUUUCAGCGACAACCUCAUUGUUGUUAUCAUUGGAAUUGGCCAUGGAAUGUAUAAUUAGAUGAUGGGGUAUUUAUUGUAAGAAAGUUGAUUUGGGUAUAGAAAUUUGGAAGACAAGUUUGAUUUAUGUAAUGGGAUUUACAUAGCAGCAUCAAGAGUAUUAAGAGGAUGUGUGCAAAUGAAAAAGCACUACUUUGAAUAUUAAGAGGAUGUGUGCAUAUGAAAAAGCAUGGCUUUUCAAAAGAAGUUUAAAUUAUACUCUAUCCAUUCCUUUUUAAUUGUCAAAAAUUAAUUUAACUAAUUUUUAAAAGUUAAAUUAGAUUACAUUAAUUUGAUGUUUUAAAUAAAAAAAAAUUAGAUAUUAAAAAAUUAUACGAAAACUACUAUAAAUUGUAAUUUUUUACAUAUUAAUAUGAUGAAAAAACACAUCAUAAAAUAUUAGUUAAAGUUCUUAUCGUUUGAAUUUAAAAAAAGAAACCAUAACAAUUAAAAGUUGACGGAGGGAGUAUACAUAAUUAAAGUAAGGAAUUUUUCCAAUAUCAAAGUAAAAUCGGUAAAAAAAGAUUCACAUUUUUUUGUUUCUCAACUAAAUAAAUUAGAUAAAUUCUUCUUUUCAUUUUUCUUUAAGAAAAUUGAAACUAUUAAUAGAGAUACUUUUAAUUUUUGUAAAAUAAAAAGGAUAGUACUGUAUAUACCGCUCAUCUGGCUGCCUGGUCAUCACGUGCAUGAGGUAGUAUAUGGUCAAAAUAUUGAUUAGUCAUUAAUAGUCAAAUGAGGGAACUACAUAGAGACCAAAAUAUAUUUUACUUGUUGGCUUACAAAUUAAAGUUGGUGGCAAAAGGAAUGCACGUCUUCCAUGUAUGAUAAUCAAAGCCAUCAUGUAGAGGCUGAGCCAGAAUUUGAUGUUUGUAGAUUCUAAAUUUUAAAACAAAAUAACAUAUUAGUCUAAUAUAACAAUCGUUAAAAUUACAACCAAAUAUAUAUAUAUAUAUAUAUAUAUAUAUAUAUUAUAUAAGCAUAUCAUUAAAAUUUCACUCGAUAAGUUGUUAUGUUUUGAAAACAAAAAUGAUGCAUCAUUUGGUACACUUUCAAAUACUUCAUUUAUUAAUAUGAAGAUUUGAGUUAUUUAUUUCAAAGUUCUAAAAUAUUAUUUGGUAAAAGGUAGAUAAUUGUUAUAUUUUAGUAUAAAUUUUGAAGAUUUUUUUCUAUAAUCUCAAUAUCAUUUUAAGUAAAAUUAAAAUUAUUAAAUUCACUAUUAAUAUUUUUGGGACCUAAAUGGAAUGUUUUACGUGCUUCACCCUUGAGUCACCCUUGAGUCACCCUUGCCUUGAAAGUUAAAGUUCCGAGAAGCAAACAAUAACUUAAUUAAUAUAAUCAAUUAUUAAUACGUGGAACAGUCUUAAAAUCAAAGAUUAAAAAUAAGAUCUUUGAAUAAAUUGUUAUACAAGGUCAAAACAAAUUAAAAAAGAGAAAAGGGAGAGCCGAGGAGGAAUUGAGAAGAGUAAAUAGUACUUAUCGGGGCAGAGGUCUGCACUUUGACAACAAGCAGUAGCAAUGAAGUAGAUUGUAAAAAUUAGAACCCUAACUUUAAAAAUAAAUAAAUUUUGGGUUUAACAUUUUAUUGAAUGCUUCAAAAGUAAUCAAUAUAGUGAGAUGUUAUUUUAGUGUAUGACACUAUAUUUUGGUUACUUACAAUUUUCUUUGAGAUUAAUAGUUAGAUGUUGUUUUGGAGUAUGACACUACUUUUUAAAUUAUUUUCAAUUAUCAAUUUUCUGUUUUAUUAUUUGAAAAAGAAUUUAUAAAAAUCUAUAUAGGAAAAAUUGAAUUAAAGGAGAGUAAAAGAUAGGUACAAAAUAAUUUUUUAAUCCAAAAUAAGAAAAUUCGCAAAAAUUGAAUUAAAUAAAAAAUUUAAUAGUUGCUAGUGGGGAUCGAACACCCAUCCAAAUAAUCAGUGUUGCGUGCGCUUACCACUGCGCCAUCCACCUUAGUGUGAUGUGGGUUCGCACGCAAAAUUUAAAUAUAUUUGUACAUGGUUUUUAGUACGUAUAUAGGAUCUACGUGAAAGGCGGUGGGUUCGUCCGAACCCCUAUUUAACACUAUAGCUACUCCCCUGUCAUCAUGUAGUCGAACCAGAGGUCGACCCACGUGUAAGAUGGGAUACACAUGCAUCCGUUAACUUUGGAAAAAUUAUGCUUAUAUAUAUAUAUUGAAAAACUGAAAGAAACUAAAAUAUAAAUAAGAGUGCCCUCAUUAGGGAUGGCAAGGGUACUGGGUCGCCCCGCCCUGUCCUGCGACCGACUCGAGACCCGUCUCGCCGGACCCGAUCCCAUAAGUUCUCGCGAGUUGUGGGGAUUUCGGGAUAGGGGACCAGUUAAGGGAUGGUUCACCCUUUGGUCCCAGUUCCGGCCCGGCUGAGCCGGUCGGUUUCGCGAGAUCCCCUUUUUUUAAAAAAAAUUUCGAAUUAUAUCAUUUGGGGCAACGGCUAGUGGGCCCCCCCAACGAAUUUAUUCAGCCUUUUCACUUCCCCAACACCCCCUCCUUUUAAAACAUUAAUUUAAACCCUAAAGUUAUAAUAAAUACACUUUAACCCAUUUUUAAUAUUAUAAAUACCCCCUAUCCUUCAUUAUUUCUUACAAAAUCAUCUAUUCUCUCAGCUAUUUUCUAUAUCCUCUCAUUCUUAAGUCUUGAUUGUUGAUUCCAUUUAAUUCUCAUAAUAUAUCAUAAUAUAUAUAUAUAUAUAUAUAUAUUUCAAUUCUAAAUUUCCAUAUAUAUAUAUAUAUACUAAUUCUCAUAUUUGCUAUCAAGUAUUGGAGUUUCAAAUUACAAGUUACAACAAACUACAAGCUUCAAGAAUCGGUUAUAACGUCUGCUAUUAACGCAGACAUUUGGUAUAUUCGUUUCAUAAUAUUUAUAUUUUAUUUUUCGCAAUUAAUUUGUGUUAUUAUUAUUUUUAUAUUUCACUUCACAUUUAAUUAAAUAUGAGUUCUAGCAAAAAAGAUACCGAUAAAGAAAAGAGAAAGUAGCAAACAUCAUUAGUAAUUUAUUUAGUAGUAAGAAAAAAAAAAUGUAGUGGUACUUCUUCUAAAUCAAUGUCUACAGUUAUAUUUAAUACAAAUGAUUCUACUUAUGUUGAUGAUACUUCUUAUGAUAUAGAUUCAAAUGUUCAACUCGAUCAUGAAAUUUUAGAACGACGUUAUGGUAAUAUGAAUCCUAAUCUUGAUGAAAAUUCAGGUGAAGAAGUAGAAGUUGAUUCGGGAGAAGAUGAAUUAGAAGAAACACUUACUAGUCCGGUGACGAAAGUUCCAACUGAAACUACAAAUUCAACGGAGCAACAUUGUCAAUAUCUUCGUUGUUUGUUUAGCUUAUUAGAUUGUAGAGUGUUUAUAACUUUAGACAUGGAUCGUAGUGUUAAUGGACAUGAUUAUUUAACUAUUACAGCACAUUUGAUUGAUCAUAACUAGAAUUUGCAAAAAAAGAAUCUUAAGUUAUAAAGAAUGUGUAGAGAAAAAAACAGGUGCAUAUUUAGCUUCAAAUAUUUUGAGUGUUUUAGAUUAUUACAUGUUCUUAGAUAAAGUAAUGUAUGUUGCAUUAGAUAAUGCAUCUAAUAAUACAAACGUUGCUGGUAUGUUAAAAACUAAAUUAUGUCCAAUUGAUAUUAAUGCUUUUCAUGUUACAUGGGUUGCACAUGUAUUAAAUUUAGUUGUACAAGAUGGUAUUUCAUUAUUUGAUUGUGGUUGUAUGAAAAUUGAAUAUGUUGUUGCAUGGAUUUUUUAUCCUUAUGAGCUGCUAGAAUUAGGAAAUUUAACGAGCGUUGUGUACUAUAUGAUAUGCCACCAAGAAAAGUUCCAAGACAUAUUAAAACAAGGUGGAAUUGUUUUUACGAAAUGCUUUCAGUUGCUUACGAAUAUAAAGGACCCAUACAAAUGGUGUUUAAUGCUCAUAAUGCUGACCCAUUAGAUAGAAUUUGUGAAAAAGAUUGGGAAGAAACUAAUGAACUAUUGAAAUUUUUAAGACUUUUUUAUUAUGCUACAACAUGUUUCUGAAAUUUAUUAUUCUACUAUUUCAUCAGUAUUAAUAAGUAUUUGUGCUAUUACAAUUCAAUUUUUUAAAUACAAUAAAAUUGAAAAUUUUAGAUUUGCAAUUGAUGGUAUGAUUGAAAAAAUUUAAAAAUAUUUUUUUUCUAUUCCUCAAAUUUAUUUAAUUGCUACUUUACUUAGCCCUCAAUAUAAAUUUCGAAGUGUGCAGGGAUUUGUUGAUACUUUUUAUGAUACUUGAAAAAUUUUACCGGAAGAAAUUCUAACUUGUGAAAAGUGUAAGUCUAGCAUAAAAGUAGAAGCAAAAAUUUUGUAUGAAAAAUAUAGAAAUAUAGGAAAUACUGAAGGAGAAGUUGAUCAAACUUCUAAUCCUAAGACUAAAGAUCGAAUUGAUAGUUUUAUGCGAGAUUUUCUUGGUCUUAAUUCUACUAACCGUGAUGAUUUUAAAGAAUAUCUUAAUCAGUCUUUAGAAACAGUGGACGACGACGAUGGCAAUGUAGAAAUAUUAGCAUGGUUGAGGAGAUGGAACGAUGCAUUUCCAAUUCUGAGCAAAAUGAUUCGUGAUGUUCAAGCUAUUCAAGCUUCAUCAGUUGCAUCGGAGGCUUAUUUUACUGUGGCAAGGUUUCAACUUAGUGAUCAUAGACAUUCAUUGACGUAAGAAAGUUUGGAAACAUCAGUUUUAUUUAGAUACUGGGUCAACGCCAAGAGGAGGAUUAUAAUUUGUCAAAGUUAACUUCCAAACAAGAAGCUUGGAUUAAUGCGGUAAUUAGAUCUAGUGACGAUGAAUUAGAGUCACAAGAGUUUCUAGCAAGUUUGCCAACACCGGAGGAUGUUACCGUCGAUUUGAUACGACAUUUAGAAUUGAAUUUUCGUAGAGAAUACAAAUAUUAGAUUACAUCUGACAGCUAAUUGAAACAGAACCCUUCCUAGAAGGUGGCUGUGUAAAUUAGUUACUCCUCUAAUAUGUGUAACAAAUAUUAGUUUUACAUAUGAGAACUUCUUGAAACAGAAGCCUUCCUAAAAGGUGGCUGCGUAGAUUAGUUACUCCACUAAUAAUUGUAAAUUAGAUUUUAAUUGAAUAAAUUUAAGUAUAAUUUUUAAGAAUCACAUAGUGUAAGAGUGAAAUUACCUCUUAUCCCUACUUUUUUUCUAAUGACAUAAAUUCCAUGUUUUUAAGGUCAUCUAGAUAAUAACCAAUUAGGCUGAUACAUUAUUGUUGAUAUAUCAACUACCGUUUGUUAAGCGUAAUAAGGGGAGAAAUUUGAAAAUCAAAUUCAGAUCCCAUGAUCGAGGUUUUUCAGUUUCAUAUUAUUAUCAAUUAUUCUCUGACAGAGCAUACCAGAUCCAAAACAAUUGAAAAUUGAUAAUUCAAAUCUCUUUUCCCUGUUCUUCAUUUAGCUAAUUUUAAUAGCGAAAAUGGAUUAAUAUCUAAAUUAGUUUUCUUUUUUUCUUCAAGAAAGACGACGAGGACGAUUUUAGGCCAGAUGGGAAGACAAUAUUUGCAGUUCAAGGGUUGAGUGCAACUAUGGCUAAUGAAGUGUCUGCAUUAGUGACAAUGUCACUCGACACUGUGAAAACAAGAUUACAAGUAUUAUAUGAUGAUUGUUGUAGUAGUAGCUCAUUCAGUAGCCGAUAAUUUCAUAAAAUACAUAAUGAAUAUUUUGAUUUUGCUGAGGCAUUAAAAAAUCUGGGAAUAAUGAGGUUAGUUAUGAAUGAUACAAAAGUGAAGAAAUCGUCGUUGGUAAAAAUAUUUCAUUCAUAAACUUAAUUUCAGUCAUUGCGACAGAAUUGAAUAUUUAUGCAUUAAGAAAAAAAUAGAGAUCCGAUACAUGGUAUAAGGUAAUUCUUCUCCAUUGAUUAUUAGGAAUGAUAUGGGAGUAAGGUUGUACGUCGAGGUAAAGAAACAUGAGGUUGGAUACCUCACUUGGAAAUCAGAUACAUUACGUUGUUUCUACAUCUAGAGAAAUUAUGUGUGUCGAAGGUUCAAAAAAAGUACUAAAACUCUUGAUAUGGAUAUGUAAGUCAUGAUACAUUAAUAGUAAACGAAGAAUGUGUAUAGUAAUUUCGUGAGUUAUGAUGUGAUCAUUAUUUUGUAUCUAAUUGUAUAUGAUACAUGUAACAAAGGGAUUAACAAUUGAGUUGUAUCAGAUACAUUUAUAUAACGAACGUAUGUAUAUGACUGAUUUGUAUAAAAUGUAUCAUGUUAAUAUUGUGUAUAUGGUAGACAAUAUUAAUAAUGUAUUAAUUAAGAUGUAUAAAGUACUUGUAGUAAUCAAGAAAAAAUGUGGAUGAUACAUUAAUAUUUUUCAUCUUUAUGUGCCAAUGGUGUAUCUGAUAAAUAAUUUGUGAUAUGUUGUGUUUAAAAAAAUCAAAUUUGAAUGUAUCACAUUCUAAUAAAGAGUUUAUGUGUAUAUGAUACAUAAGUGUUUACUAUAUACACAUUGUUGUGACUCAUAUCUAUUAUAUCAUAUACAUUAUGUCAUAACUAAUGAGUUCUUUAUAAUGACAUUUGAAUCACAAGAGUUAUGAAUCUGAUAUUUAUCUUUAUGACAUCUAAUUAUAUAAUGUGAAUAUUUUAAGUAUCAGAUGAUGUGUUGUGUAUCAAGACCACUGUUUUAUUUAAAAAUGAUAAUUAGACUGGUUUAAGAGUCGCCACCUAAUUUUAAAAUAAAAUUAAGAAAACUGUUGUUUUCAAAAGACUAAAACAAAAAGUCUAAUGAAAACUUAAAAGGGGUUCGGGGUUCUUAUUAGCAUUUCGGGAAGGGUUUGAAAGCACCUGAAAUGCCUUCUAAUACACAGUUAUCCAAUAAUUAAUUAUUUGGCUAAAAUAAUUUAACUUAACUUAACUUGAAAAAUUGAACUAUUUUAUAGUUAGAACUAUUUUAAAGGGGAAAUGUUUAAAUAUUAUCUAAGUGAGCUAUUUUGCAAAAUUAUUUCUUUAAAUCUUGUUAAGAGAUGACUUGUUUAGUUAAUUUUUUUAAAGCAAAAUGGACGUCUUUCAGAGAUUUGAAUUGUUGAUCUUAAGAUUAAUGACUAAUAUUAACAAGUAAAUAAACAUGAUAAAACAAAGAGCUAGGGAAAGGGAUUUGGCCCAAAUCUGAUUUUCUGUCCGCCUGGGGCCAGCAUUUAGGCCUAUUUUCAUUUGGGCCUUCGGCCCAUUUGAGUCACCUGCACCUGUCCUAUACUAACGAAAAAAAAUAUUUUUUUUCUUUGGGCCUUAGACCCAAUUUUUCACCUGUCCUAAAUUCUAACAAAAUAAUAAACAUAAUGACUAAAUAGGAUUAGGCCCAAUAAUAACAAAAUACAAUUUUUUUGCAUAAAGAGUGGGCCUUUGGCCCAAUCUUUUCAGUUCUCCUCUGCUUUCACAUUUUUUCAACUUCGGGACCUGUACGUCGAUUUUCAAUGGCCGGUUGACUCGAUAAAGGAGUUCAUAAUGAACUCGGAUAGAUUUCACAUGCGACAAAAUGAUGAUAAAAAUUUGUUCCGUAGAAUAAUAAAGCAACAACAUGUCUAAAACAGAUCACACCAGUCCCCUAAGCCAAUAUAAAGCAAAUAAUUCAAUUGAACCCAAACAACAUAGAUCUAGAUAACGGGACAUAUAUUCCAACGACACUAAAUGCUCGAAUCAUAUUAAUGAUAGAAUACUGACUAUUCAAGCUACUACCUUGGCACUAAAAAUAAUCCACAACAACACAUAUUAACCAACUUAUUUAGUGCACAGAUAUGCUAAUAGAAGAGGCUAACACCUAAAACCAGUUAUUUAGGUUCGAUCACUUUACGAGGGGCAUCAUAGCUUAAAGAAAAAAAGGGUAAUUAGGAGAGUACAUCAACUAUUUCACACAUCAAAUUAACAUAAUGACCGUCAACAAAUAUAUGAACAAUAAAUAUAUAUUAUUAUUAUUAUUAUUACAUAUAUGUAUAAAUCCCGCAUACUUCCAGAUAACAAAAUUUGGCAAUCUUUUAGAAUCCAUAUAAACUAAAAUCUAACCCACUAUGAUUAAACAAUUUGCCAACUAUGUUUUAACUUUUUUUUAGUUUUUAUUUUUUGUUAAGCUGCUAAACUAAACAAUUAUAAACAAACAUACAAAUCAUGCCCCAGACAAAUAUUGACUCAUUGAUAAAGAAGACAAGCUGGAACUACUGUGAAUUCAAAGAAUGAUGUAGGCUAUCAUACUUAAAUGCGACACUAAGGAAAUCUAUCAAUGAGUCAUGCUUAUAAAAAAUGGUUUCAUUUUAUAAACCCAAAACCAAAUUAGCGGUGAGAAGAAGAUGAAACAUGUCGCCUCUUUCAAGACAUACCAAAUCACAAUAGAUUACUUCGGACAGAAGCAAAACGAACCUUACAAAAUUAAGAACGACAGACCAUUUAAUUAUUUAAAUGCUUUAAAGAUAUUCCAAGAACAACACUAGUUAUAAUCGAAUGAACCUUCCUAAGAUGCAGGGACUAAGAAUAGCGACGUAUUUUUAUUUAAACAAGUCCUUAAAAAUGGAACAAGACAAGAGCAAUAUUUUGAUUAAAGAAGGAAAGAGAUUAGACACAUUUGUCAAGUAAACCAAGUAUCAAUGACCAAGAUUCACAAUAACAGAGAGAAAACAGCAGCAGACUAUCAAAAACCAUAACCUCUCUUAUUUAUCACAUUUCUAUACGGAUAACUAAUAUUAAGAGAAAACAGUUACAAAGAACAAAUGAGCUAUCAGCCUUAAAGAGUAACUAAGUUGAUCGAAACUAAGCAACACAGUGAGUAAACGAUUAAGAGAAUCAAUCCCAAAAGAAACAAGAGCCUGAUCGAAGAAACAAACUAAUGGAAUAUAGAUGAAAGUAGAGAUUACCUCUUGUUGUGCAGCGAAACAGGGGAGACGAGCAAAAAGGUAGCUUCCCACGACUACAACGAGAUUCCGACUCGAGCAACGAUCAAGAAAUCCGAGCAAAAUAUUGAACUCGAACACCAAAAUCGAUUACUUCUUCUGACUUUUUGUAGUAUAUUUUUUGUAUGUAAUUUAGCUAUUUCAUUUAAGCUGCUCUCUUUGCCUUAAAAAAAUUUUUCUCCAACCCCCCCUCCAAUGGAAGAGAGGAGAUGUAUUUAUAGGGGGAAAUUAGGAUGAAAAACGGAUAGGAACAAGGGUCAAAACGAAAUUCUCCCUUGAUUUCAAAAUUCAAAAAUCCUUUUCCAGGAAGCAGCUGGGUUUGGUAUGGGAUUUCGUCCAAGAUCCCAGAAAAUUCGGACGAGAAGCAGGGUGGGCGGUUGUUGCAGAGAAAGCUGUGGGAGCUGUUGUUUGUUGACAUUUCGAACUGUUGUUGCUUUGACGUUUUUGGGUUUGCGUCUGGGGAAGAGGAAGACGUUUGUGGGGUCGUUCGGCUACUGUUGCUGUUGUCGGUUCUGCUACUGCUAUCGUUGAAAUUGAAAAGGAAAAAGGGGAUGGGGCCGGGUCAGGGGAAUUGGGUCGGUUUGGUGUUGUUUCUGUUGUAUUGUUAUUGAAUUAUUUGGGCCGGGGCAAAUGAGGUGUUAAAGAGAUGGGUCUGGGAAUUGUUGGGCUAGCAGCUUUGGUAUUGUUAGGAAUUGUUUGGCUGAAAUGGACCUGAAAUGAGAAAGGUAUGGGCUGCUGGAAAUUAGAGAAAUGGGGCCCAAAACUAAAGUCUUUGGUGGGUCUAAAGUAAGAUAUAACUAAGUGAAUUAACAACUUAGCCAAAUUGAAUUUAAUUUGCAAAUUCGGCUAAAAUUUAAAUAGGACGAAUGAGUAUAAUUAAUUAAUGAGCUUCUUAAUUUUAACGAAAUAAAAUAAUUAACUCAAUAGACUAAUGACUCAAAAUAUAAACUACUAAUUUAGACAAAAUUAAUUAAAAUACUCACUAAAAUUUUAAAAAAAAUUGUGAUGAUUUUCGAAAUGUUUAUAAAAUAUACUAAUUAUAUACGAAAUAAUAUAAGACAUAUAUGUUAAUUUAAAAUUACAAAAAAGUGACAAAACUAUUUAAAAUAACUUGCAAACUAUAACUAUUAUCAUAUAUAUAUAUAUAUAUUGAAACUUUAUAAAACUAAUUAUUUUAAAGCGUUUGAAAUUGAAGAAGCUCGAAAUGAUUAAUUUAUAUUGUGGAGGUACAAAAUUGGGUGUCAACAACCACUAUAAUUAAAACACAAAAUAUAAGAAUUUACAAGAUAUAAUUAAGAACAAAUAUAUUCAAAUUCAGACAUAAUAUGACACAAUUUUUAGAGUAACACUCUAAAACUUAAGUAAGAUUAUCUUUAACAAAAAAAAAAAGAAACAAAACAUCAAAGGGUGUCUAUUCAAUGAUACAUAAUCACUAUUCAACAUUAACCAAUUCAUCUUGUUGCGGUGGAGUAAAGCGACCCUUGAGCUUUGGAGGAUCAUCUUUAUCUUUAAAAUAGCGUGACUUAGCCUUUUCAGUACCGUAUCUCCAUAAUAAUGUUUCAUAUCUUGUGCGAAGAUAAUCAACUCGGAAAUCAUUUGAUGGGAUGUUGAUUUUGUUACUAAGGAACUCAACAAAAGCAGUUAUAAAAAGUAAAUCAUCAUGAGAAACAUGUCAAGUUAAUCAUAUGAUACAUAAUUGUAACUACAAAGUAUCUUAAUGUUUAGUUGAUACAUAAUGAUAAAAAAGAGUAACUAAUGCUCAAUACAAAUUGAUGAUCUAUAAAAUCUUACAGAUAUUUAUAUUUAAUACUAAAUGCCCACUAGUUCAACAUGAUACAAAAAUUGUCCAACACUUAAACAUGAUACAAAUAAUGGAUUACAGUUAAACUAAUAACUUGCAAUGUAUCAUAUGUGUGUAUUUGAUACAUUUUAGUAAAUUUUGUGUAUCUGAUACACACUCUAAUAGUGCAGGUUUUUAAUGAUACAAUAAUGAACAUUAUUUUUGUAUCAAUAACUACACAAUUACAACUCCACACAUGAUACAAAAAUGCCCGCUACUAUUGAACAUUAUUUUUAUAUCAAUAAUUUCAGAAAAUUACAACAACUCCUCUAAUAAUGAAUAAAAUUAGUAUAAUUUACAUAAAUCUCAUAGUGUAAGACCCUAAUUACAUCUUAUCAAUUAAUUUGAUACACGAUACUUUAUCUAUAGAAUAAUAGGAUUUAUGUAUCAAGUGUAUUUAUUGAGUAAUGUGUACAUGCACAUAAUCUUCUAAUUUAAAUAAGUCUGAACAAAAAUUAAACACUACAGAUACAUAACAACAAUUGAUACAUGGUAGAUUAUACAAUUUGAACACGAUAUAUUGAGCAUGCUGAAAUUGUAAUGUAUUAUAAUGUUGAAAAGAAAGCAUUAUACAUUAAUCUAAGAAAAUAAAAAUAACUGGAUACAUUAAAAAUAUGAAUUCAUAUUUAUCAAAAAAAGAUGAAAAAGAAAAAAUCAAAAUAAAAUCCAACAAUCUGAUCUUCUUCUCCUUCUUCUUCUCAACAUAUCGAUAAUGUAUCAGAUUGUUGCUGCAUUUGUGGUAGUCCAUUGGAUGCACAAUAAAAACCUUGCCAAUACAUUGUCAUAGCAAGUCUAUCCGCACCGAUAUAUUGGAGGAGAACAUUUUGGAGGAGGAGGAGAUGGACCCCAAGAUCUCAUAUUAGUAUUAGAAGAAUUUAGUUGAGUGACCCCAAUACUAAAUGAAGGGGCCUGGCCCAUAUGUAUUAGGAAAAAAAUGAAAGAAGACAACAAUGGAGAAGACAAAACCCUACCUAUUCACAUGUUUGAAAUUGAUUGACUUGAGAGAGAGAAUCCUUUUGAAAAUCAAAUUAAUUUGAAUAUUGCAAUUGCUAAGAAUGUGGAGUGAAUUUAAGGAGAGAAAAGAGGAGUGAAAACGAGAGUAGUAAAGGUGGGUUUUGGCUGAUGGAUCUUAUGUAUCUGAAAGUNNNNNNNNNNNNNNNNNNNNNNNNNNNNNNNNNNNNNNNNNNNNNNNNNNNNNNNNNNNNNNNNNNNNNNNNNNNNNNNNNNNNNNNNNNNNNNNNNNNNNNNNNNNNNNNNNNNNNNNNNNNNNNNNNNNNNNNNNNNNNNNNNNNNNNNNNNNNNNNNNNNNNNNNNNNNNNNNNNNNNNNNNNNNNNNNNNNNNNNNNNNNNNNNNNNNNNNNNNNNNNNNNNNNNNNNACUUGUAACUUCUAAUAUUUUAUUGUUUUUUGUAUUAAAUCAAAACAAAAGACUACAUCACUAUUUCAAGUUAAAUUCUUUUAAAAUAUUUAAAAUACAAAUUUGAACUUUCAAGUUUGAAAUUUGAAAGUUUAAAUUUGAAAUUUGAAAACUUUAAGCAUUUUUUAUUAGCUAAAAAUGUUAUUGAAAACCAAAUAAAUUAAAAAAUGUUAUUCAAUAACAUAUAAUUUCAAUACAAAUAAAUAAACAUAUAAAAAAUAAAAAAUUUCAUGUCCCGUCCCGCCAAACACCGUCCCAUCCUGUAUAUAUAGUGGGACGGGAUGGGACGUAUUUUUGUCCCGCCAAUCCCGGUCCCCACAAUCUCGAUCCCGGCCGAAUCCCGGCCAAGGGCGUCCCCCUCCCGUCCCGUCUCCCUUUGUCCCGUCCCACAAUCCCCGUCCCUGUCCCCUUGCCAGCCCUAGCCCUCAUGAAAAGCACAAAAGGCAAUUAGUAUUGUCGGUACAAGUGAGCGCGACCACUCAUGUGACUGCGGUUUGAUUUCAGGUAAACCACAUUUUAUUAUUUUUAUCAACUCAUAAUAUUGGUGCACCCGUAGUAUUCAGAAAAGUAAUCUUUUGUCUUAAUUGAUGUGAUACGUUCUUUUAUUUUAUAGUUUGUAUAGAAAAAUUAAAUAACUUUUUUAUACUAAUUAGAAACAAUUUAACUUUAAAAUUUUACUUUUAUCCUUAAUGAAAUAAUUUAUAAUCACAUCAAUGAUGAAAGAAUAUUUUAGACCACAAGUUUUAAAUAUUAGUUUUCGAAUAUGUAAAUAAUUUGAACAAAUUAUAUUAAAUAUUAUGCUUCUUUUAUUAUAGGUCUUUUUAUGUUAUCUUAUUUAUUAUGGUUGAAGAUUCACAAAUCACAAUGGUUAGCAAUGGUGAAUUGUUCGCUAGCUUGUACUCUAGUGAAAUCAAAAUUGUGUUUGAUUCAGAAACAAAAAUAUAAAGGUAACAAUAAAAUCAAACGUAAUAUAAAAUAAUAUUAAUUAUUUUUGCAUUGCUUUUACUCGUACUUUUGGACGUUAAAUUAAAACAAUCGAAAAUGACAUCUCAUCAUGAAAAAAUAAAGAUAAAGAGAAUUAUUAAUCCUAAUCAUCACUUAAGUUGGAUGAAAGCAGCAAAACGCUUGAUCAAAUCUUGAGAUUUCUCAGUUUCAGGAUUAGCUAGUUGAAAGCACUGACCUUCAUCUUCAACUUCAAUCAACUCUAAAUCCCCUUUCCAACCACUUUUCUUUACACCUUCAACUAAUCGAACCCCAAUUUCUUUUGGAAUAUAUUCAUCUUUCUCCGCGAAACACAACAACAUCCUAGAACAACCCAACUGAGACAAACUAGGAGCAUUCUCAGCAAGUGGAUUAAUCAUUGGACUAUGAAGCCCAGCUUCUGAUGGUGAGCUAAUAAUAAUCCAAUUCUUGUACGAUACAUUUUGUUCAAUGUUCUCAAGUGGAACCAAAAGGUAAGGACAAACAAGAAUCGAACCAUUAAUAGCUACCUUUUCAUUAAUACCACCUUCUCUUCCUGCUCUCAUCGCCAUAUGAUAAACUAUAUUCCCACCAGCACUAUCUCCAAUUAUAGUCAAUCUACUAAAAUCUCCGUAGUUUUUUAUCCACGGGUCUUCGUUAUCACUAGUGAAUUUUUUUUCAUUAGCAUGUGACGCGACCCAUUGAAGUGCAGUCCAACAAUCUUCGUAUAUUGUGGUCACGUCAUGUUCAGGGGCUAACCGAUACUCUACUGAAAUCGCGAUUGCGUUAGAUUUAGAAACCAAGACAUUGAGAUAACGUUGAUACACAUUAAAAAAAGCGGAUCCAAGAACUAAUGCACCACCAUGGUAAUACACGAAAAUGGGAAGUUUUUGGGUAGAAUUGUUUGUGUUUUUUGGAAGGUAAAGUCUAGCAGAAACAUGUGAAGAAAUUGUAACAUCUUUAGAGGAGACACCACCGGCUGGAUCUUCAAGUGAUGGGGGAACGUAUGCUAUGCCAAUUGUGUCAUAUAAACGUUCGACUCGACCAUCCUUAUAGAUUCUAUACCAACAAUCCAUUUGAGUGACAACCUCAUUGUUAUUGUCAUUUGAAUUAGCCAUGAAAAAAAUUUAUUGUAGAGAGAAUUAGAAGAUGAGGUAUUGUAAGAAAGUUGAUUUUGUGUAUAGAAAUUUGGAAGGAAGUUUGAUGUAUAUAAUGGGAUGUGUUGUGUUGUUUUUCAGAAGUAUAUAAUGGGAUGUGUUGUUUUUUGAUGUAUAUAGAUUUCCCAAAUAUUAUUUGGGGGAAAAUUUGGCAAAUAGUGUUUGUCCAUAUAAUUUGCCAUUAUUUGGAAAAUAUUUUUGGCAAAUAUCCCAAAUUCCCAAAUACUAGUUUUUUCUAGUAUUUGGGCCAAAUCUCAUUAUUUGGGAUCUUUUGAAAAUUGAAAUUUUUACCCCAAACUUUUUAUCUUUUUACAAAAACACUCUCUAUAGUAGUUGUUUGUGUCGUAUUUACAUAAUUUUUUCACGUGAACACCAAAGUAGUGAUGAAAUAUUCAGUGAAUAUUAAAUGAUGAUAUGGUUGUUGAUGAAAAUGAUGAACAAUCGGCUCAGGGUAACAAAGUCAUGUGCUUUGUCUACUUCACGAUGUAUGGAAUGAUGCUUGUUGCACUCACUCCAAACUACCACAUUGCUCUAGUGUCAUGUACACUAUUUGUUAUUGUUGCAACGACGGUUCAAUUGGCUUAUAAUACAAACUUAUGGUUAGUUUUGAUAGUUUUUAAAACUUGUGGGUAUAAAUCAUAUUUUUCUAAAAAAGUGAAAUAUAUUUCCCAAAUACUAUGGCCAAACACAUGGUGAAAUUUCACCCAAAUUUUCACCCAAAUAAUAUUUGCCAAGAAUAUUUAGAAAUCUAUGGCCAAACGCUAGCUUAGUGAAGGCAUGGGUUUAACAUUCAAAUAAUGACAUCUCAUCAUGAUGAUUUGGCAAACUUCUAGAAUCAAAUUAAAGUGAGAAUGAUAUGGUCAUUUUUCUUGUUUGGUACUACCAGUGUAAUAUUAGUUGAUCACUUUCUAAUUAGCACGACGUUUAAGAAAUCAUAAAUAAGAAGAUAUUUUUUUCUAUUUCAUUACUCCUUAAGAAGUUUCUUGAGAAUUAUACAAACAAAUGUGAACACUUUUUUAAAAAAAAAAUUAUUGCAAGAUAAGAAAAAAUAUAAUUAAUGCUUUCUUAAUUUAGUAAGAUGAUCAAUUAAUACGGGACAAUUAUUUUUUAUAAGAUAAUCAGCUAAUACAGAAUGAAGUAAGUAAAAUGAAAAAAAAGUUAUAUAUUUGGGGACUUUGAUACUAACAUGUUACAUUUGGUCUAAGAUGAUCCUAAACAAUUUCAAUUAUUUUCUAGAUGUUGGACUGAGCACUAGGAGGAAAUUAAAGGGAAGAACCUUCAUAAAGAAAAGUUAAAUCCUCAAGUCAGUGGUGAAGUUAAAUAUGCAACAAUCUAUGAGAAGAUUAUACUCCUAUUUAAAUAAAGUAAAAAUAACUUUUAACGCAUAUAUAAAAUGUUAAUUCUUCUUAAUUAGCAUAAAAUAAAUUAGUAUUUAAAUUUCAGAUUUGAAUAGUCAUUUGAAUCAUCAACAACCUUCUAGAAAUCAUACAUCAAAAUUCAAAAGAAAAGAAAAGGUUGCUAAUCUUUAUAUGUAGAGUUUAAGUUUUACUAGCUAGCGUAUAAUGUUUUAUUAAUACACCAUCAAAUAACAUUAACCUUCUAUAACAAUUAACAGGUAACUAAUCUUUUACUAGUUUUUUUUUUUUUUUCAAAAUUCAAACACUAUUUUUUUUACUGCUCAUCUGGCCACCUAGCCAUGACGUGGAUGAGGUAUUUAUAUACAGUAAAAUUAGUAGUCAAAUGAGGGAACUAGAUAAAUAAAGACCAAAAUCCACUAUCUAUAUUCUAUAAUAUCUUUUACUUCUUGGCUUACAAAGUUGGUGACAAAUGCCUCCCAUGUGUGAUGAUCAAAAUUCAAAGCCAUCAUGUAGUGGAACCAUAAAUCAAUCUUUUUUUUUCCCAUGGAGAAUUAGUCCAUAAAAAUAACCCUCUUUUUUAAUUACAUGGCGCAUUUUUUUUUUAAGUCCGUCUCCGAGGAAUAUGUACCUUUUGAUAAUAAAAAAUAACUUAAUUUUAAAAUUUCUCUUCUACACUUAAUAAAAUAAUUUAUAAAUAGAAAAAUAAUCAAAAAGAGUGUUUUUUUCUAACUAAUGUGAUAAUAUACCAUUACCAACAAAAACAAGCAACCAAUACACCUAAGGGAGAACCUAAUCUCAUAACCACCAAGUAUGGUAAACAAUUGCUCCCCAAGUAGCUGCAACAAUCUCCUUUUUGAAAUACUUCUUUUUAAUUCUCUCUAGCAUAAUUAUAUUUUAUUAUUUGAUAAAUUAGAUCUCAACUGUUUAAUCCAAGCACAAUCUGCAAAAAAAUGCAGGGGUGUUUCUGUAGUCUUCAUGUCACAUAAGCAUAAUUGUAUAAAGAAACUUUACAAAGUUUUAGAAGCUUUUUUUUUCUUCUGAGUUUUGGAAUGGCGUUAUGAUAGCUUAUAUGAUUAUUAUCAUAGGAUAAUUAAACAGGGUGAAAGAAACAAUUUGAAACACUCUAUAUUUGAAUCCAACUUAUUUCAGUUGUGGCCAUAUGGAGUACUAUAGAUUUAGGAGAAUAUUUAAAGAACAUUCUAAAUUUUGAUCAUUUUGAAACUAUCAAUAAUUUCAGAGUGAAGUAUUGAAGACAAUUCUAAAUUCAGGGCAAAUGAUUAGUUUCAUUCUUGAAUUAUUGAUAGUCUUAAAAUUAUCUUUUUACUUGACUAAUUGAACUUAAAUACACUGCCCAUCUUACAAUAUUAGUGAAACACAUUUCUAAACUCUCGUCAAAUUUAGAGGUGUUUUCAACACUUCUCAUGGCUUUUUAUUAAGAGCACAUGCUCUGAUCUACAAGAGUUCAUUUGGCAAGGGUCUAUUUAAAUUUGUCAGUAAAAGACUGUUUUUAAAGUGAUGGGGGUACGUACGUUAAUAAGUUAUUUGUGUCAUAUAAACGUUCGACUCGACCAUCCUUAUAGAUUCUAUACCAACAAUCCAUUUGAGUGACAACCUCAUUGUUAUUGUCAUUUGAAUUAGCCAUGAAAAAAAAUUUAUUGUAGAGAGAAUAAUUAGAAGAUGUGGUAUUGUAAGAAAGUUGAUUUGUGUAUAGAAAUUUGGAAGGAAGUUUGAUUUAUAUAAUGGGAUUUGGUUGUCUUGUUUCUCAGCAGUUGAUGGCCAAAGUAAAGAAUAAUUGAGCAAAUCUAGAUUUAGUGGAGGCAUGGGUUUUACAUUCAAAUAAUGACAUCUCAUCAUGAUGAUUUGGCAAACUUCUAGAAUCAAAUUAAAGUGAGAAUGCUAUGGUCAUUUUUCUUGUUUGGUACUACCCGUCUCGAUCACUUUCUAUUUUGCACAGUGUUUUAAGAAAUCAUAAAUAAGAAGAUAAUUUUUCUUAUUUUAGUACUCCUUUAGAAGCUUCUUGGGAAUUCUAAGACAAAUUAUAAUUAAUGUUUUCUUGAUUUAGUAAGUUGAUCAAUUAAUAUGGGACUAUUUUUUAUAAGAUGAUCAGCUAAUAUGGGACAAUGUAAGUAAAAGGAAAAAAAAAGUUAUAUAUUUGGAGACUUUGAUACUAACAUGUCCUAAACAAUUUCAAUUAUUUUCUAGAUGUUAGACUGAGCACUAGGAGGAAAUUAAAGGGAAGAACCUUCAUAAAGAAAAGUUAAAUCCUCAAGUCAGUGGUGAAGUUAAAUAUGCAACAAUCUAUGAGAAGAUUAUACUCCUAUUUAAAUAAAGUAAAAAUAACUUUUAACGCAUAUAUAAAAUGUUAAAUCUUCUUAAUUAGCAUAAAAUAAAUUAGUAUUUAAAUUUCUGAUUUGAAUAGCCAUUUGAAUCCUCAACAACCUCCUAGAAAUCAUACAUCAAAAUUCAAAAGACAAGUUGAAGAAAAGAAAAGGUUGCUAACCUUUACAAUGUAGAGUUUAAGUUUCAUACAUCGUUAGCAUAUAAUUUUUUAUUACACCAGAUAACAUUAACCCUUCUAUAGCAGGUGACUAAUCUUUUAUUAGUUUUUUCCUUUUUCCCAAAAUUCAAACACUAUUUUUAUUUUUACUGCUCAUCUGGCCGCCUAGCCAUGACGUGGAUGAGAUAAUAUAUAGUAGUAAAAUUAGUAGUCAAAUGAGGGAACUAGAUUAAUAAAGACCAAAAUCCACUAUCCAUAUUCUAUAAUAUCUUUUACUUCUAGGCUUACAAAGUUGGUGACAAAAGGCAUGCAUUUGCCUCCCAUCAUGUGAUAAUCAAUAAUUGAUGUUUUAUAUUACAUAAUAUAUGAAAUCAACAUAAUAUAAAAUAAUAUUAUUCUUGCAUUGCAUUUAUUACUCCACUUUCUGAUGAUAAGGCAAUCGAAAAUGAUACUUCAUCAUAACAAAAAUCAAGAUAAGAGAAUUAUUGAAGCAACAAGGAUGUAUAGGUGUAUGCCACUAAUUGCAAUAAUUAUAUACAGAUUUUUGUUUGUCCUUACUUUUUGGUUCCAAUUGAAAACAUUGAACAAAGUGGAGCGUACAAGAAUUGGAUUAUUAUUAGCUCACCAUCAGAAGCUGAGCUACAUAUAGUCCACUAAUAUUUAAUGUAAUAUUUAAAAUUACUCAAGUCGGAUAAAAGAAGCAAAACGCUUGAUCAAAUCUUGAGAUUUCUCUGUAUUAGGAUUAUUCAGUUGAAAGCAAUGAACUUCAUCUUCAACUACAAUAAACUCCAAAUCCCCUUUCCAACCACUUUUCUUUACGCCUUCAACGAAACGAAUCCCAAUUUCUUUUGAAAUAUACACAUCUUUAUCCGUAAAACACAACAACAUCCUAGAACAACCCAACUGCGACAAACUAGGAGCAUUCUCAGCAAGUGGAUUAAUCAAUGGACUAUGUAGCCCAGCUUCUGAUGGUGAACUAAUAAUAAUCCAAUUUUUGUACGCUCCACUUUCUUUAAUAUUCUCAAUUGGAACCAAAAAGUAAGGACAAACAAGAAUCGAACCAUUAAUAGCUACCUUUUCAUUAAUACCAUCUUCUCUCCCUGCUCUCAUCGCCAUAUGAUAAACUAUAUUCCCACCAGCACUAUCUCCAAUUAUAGACAAUCUACUAAAAUCUCCGAAGUUUUUAAUCCACUGGUCUUCGUUAUCACUAGUGAAUUUUUUUUCACUAGCAUGUGACGCGACCCAUUGAAGUGCAGUCCAAGAAUCUUCGUAAAUUGUGGUCACGUCAUGUUCAGGGGCUAACCGAUACUCUACUGAAAUCGCGAUUGCGUUGGAUUCAGAAACCAAGACAUUGAGAUAAUUAUGGUACGUGUUAAAAAAAGCAGAUCCAAGAACUAGUGCACCACCAUGGUAAUACACUAUAAUGGGAAGUUUUUGGGUGGAAUUGUUUGUGUUUUUUGGAAGGUAAAGUCUAGCAGAAACAUGUGGUGAAAUUGUAACAUCUUUAGAGGAGACACCAGUGGCUGGAUCUUCAAGUGAUGGGGGUACGUAUGCUACACCAAGUGUGUCAUAGAAACG
rnacentral:lncRNA from 1 species